rnacentral:rRNA from 1 species
UACAGAGGGUGCGCGCGUUACUCGGAAUUACUGGGCGUAAAGGGCACGUAGGCGGCAAUUCAAGUCAGCUGUGAAAUCUCCGGGCUUAACUCGGAACGGUCAGCUGAUACUGCUUUGCUAGAGUGCAGAAGGGGCGAUCGGAAUUCUUGGUGUAGCGGUGAAAUGCGUAGAUAUCAAGAGGAACACCUGAGGUGAAGACGGGUUGCUGGGCUGACACUGACGCUGAGGCGCGAAAGCUAGGGUAGCAAACGGG